AACGAACGCUGGCGGCAUGCCUAACACAUGCAAGUCGAACGAGACCUUCGGGCCUAGUGGCGCACGGGUGCGUAACGCGUGGUAACUUGCCCUUAGGUUCGGAACAACUCCCUGAAAGGGGUGCUAAUACCGGAUAAUGUCAUCGGACCAAAGAUUUAUUGCCUUUGGAUGGGCCCGCGUUGGAUUAGCUAGUUGGUAGGGUAAAAGCCUACCAAGGCGACGAUCCAUAGCUGGUCGGAGAGGAUGAUCAGCCACACUGGGACUGAGACACGGCCCAGACUCCUACGGAAGGCAGCAGUAGGGAAUAUUGGACGAUGAGCGAAAGCCUGAUCCAGCAAUGCCGCGUGAGUGAUGAAGGCCUUAGGGUUGUAAAGCUCUUUUACCCGGGAUGAUAAUGACAGUACCGGGAGAAUAAGCACCGGCUAACUCCGUG
rnacentral:rRNA from 1 species